GGAGGAGAAUAUGUACCGGGAUUCCUUUAGCAGAAAGGAUGAUAAUCUAUGCCUCGGCUUCACUCUUGCAUUCGUUCGAUUGGAAAUUGCCUAAUGAAGAAAAGCUUGACCUUUCAGACAAAUUUGGGAUUGUGACAAAGAAAAAGACUCCACUUAUUGCUGUACCAACAGCCAGGUUAUCCAAUUUGGAGCUCUAUGCUUAAAUGCUCCCUAAUUCUUAAUUCUAGUGUGCUUCGACAUAUAUGUUGUAAGAACAAAAAAGAAGGAAAAUAAGCAUAUGUAUUUGCUGGUUUCUCUAUGUGGUUAAGCAAUUGCAGAAUGGCAACAACUACUACAGGCAACAUGAAUACAUGAUAUCAGAUAACCUUUCAUCUCUCUAAUUUUGUUAGAAGAAAUUAUAUAUGUGCAAAGUCCAAAUGUGAGAGAUAUUUAGAAGCUGAAUAAAUAGACGAACCUGAGUAACAGAGCAUUUGCCCAACAAGCUUUGUCUGCCCAAAAUCACAAACAAACGCAAUUGAUAUUCCCAUAUAUAGCUAGCUGUACCUUAGAGCUCGUUCUGGUAAGCCACAGCAACUCUUGCUGUACCUAAAGAAAAGGAGUGAAAUACAAUUAGAAUUUACUGGUUCUAAUUAUUAGACCUGAAUUGAAAUCUGAAAUGGAUAAUUGACGAACCCAAGAGGUGGCCGAAGGCGUCACGGCAAGCGUCGUACACCAAGGAGGUGUACUGGCCGUCCGAGCAACACUGAUUUUUCAUCUCAAAGAAAUAGGAAAGGAUUCUAGUUCGGCGGAGAAACGAAGCAUGCAUGUAGUUGGGCUGGGCCUAGCGGGCCGAGGGGUCCAUCGUUUGCAGAACAAAAAGACUGAAACUAUGAGUAUUCGACCCAAUUGAAAAGGAAUCUGUUGAGACUGCAAAGAAUCCUUUAUCAAUUUCUGAGGUACAACUUCUUCUCUGCCGUUUCUCUGUGUCUGCUUCAGUAAACGGUGAGAGGUUACGGACUUACGGUAAAUUAACGGACUCUGUUGAUGAAGUAUAUAUUUUUCUUACUGUUCUCAACAGAUUGCCAAAAAUUUGAGGGUAUAGCUAUU
rnacentral:lncRNA from 1 species